UUGUUGCAUGUCAACGUUACAUUUGUUUGGCAUCUGCUGGGUAUUGAAAGGAUUUAAUAUUUAAAAUGUCUUCUUCUUUUGAUUUAAUUUUUAUUUGUUGAUUGUGUUGCACAAAUAUUGUCAGCUUUCCAGGAUAAUUAGAUAUGGUUGAUUGCAGCCUCUUAGGUGUUUUUUUUUCCCCAUAAUUAAUGUAAAUGAUUUUCGAUAUCAUAUAAGCAGAUUGCCUUAAUCUUUAACGGUUGUAAAUUUCUUUUCUCCUUUCCUGUCGAAAAUGGAGCAUGUUUAAAAUGUUUUGACAUUUGGUUUAAUUUUUUCCCCUGUACUAAAACUUUAACCAUGGAGACAGUUUAUUUCGACUAUAAUUUGGUAAAAUCUCGAUUCAUGUAUGCUAUUAGGCAUUCAUUUUAUAAACUUUAGAUCCCAAUGUUAAUUUUGUGUUACUUACUUAUGUGUCAUUAUUGCUUCUAUGAUAGUGCAAUGGUGGUGAUUCUGAGGA
rnacentral:misc_RNA from 1 species